GGAUUGCAGGCUGCAACUCGCCUGCAUGAAGCCGGAAUCGCUAGUAAUCGCGGAUCAGCACGCCGCGGUGAAUACGUUCCCGGGCCUUGUACACACCGCCCGUCACACCACGAGAGUUUGUAACACCCGAAGUCGGUGAGGUAACCUUUUGGAGCCAGCCGCCUAAGGUGGGAUAGAUGAUUGGGGUGAAGUCGUAACAAGGUAGCCGUAUCGGAAGGUGCGGCUGGAUCACCUCCUUU
rnacentral:rRNA from 1 species